rnacentral:rRNA from 1 species
UUGGGCGAAGCCUGAUCAGCCUGCCGCGUGUGUGAAGAAGGUCUUCGGAUUGUAAAGCACUUUAAGUUGGGAGGAAGGGUUGUAGAUUAAUACUCUGCAAUUUUGACGUUACCGACAGAAUAAGCACCGGCUAACUCUGUGCCAGCAGCCGCGGUAAUACAGAGGGUGCAAGCGUUAAUCGGAAUUACUGGGCGUAAAGCGCGCGUAGGUGGUUUGUUAAGUUGGAUGUGAAAUCCCCGGGCUCAACCUGGGAACUGCAUUCAAAACUGACUGACUAGAGUAUGGUAGAGGGUGGUGGAAUUUCCUGUGUAGCGGUGAAAUGCGUAGAUAUAGGAAGGAACACCAGUGGCGAAGGCGACCACCUGGACUAAUACUGACACUGAGGUGCGAAAGCGUGGGGAGCAAACAG